rnacentral:lncRNA from 1 species
UCUGUCUCCCAAUGUAAAAAUGGCGGUUUUGGGCCCCCCAUACAAUAAAUGUCGUUUCGAGCUCCCCCCCCCAUACAAAAAACUGGACGGUUUCGAGUCCCCCCCCAUACAUUAAAUGUCAGUUUCGAGUCCCCCCCCAUACAAAACUGUCGGUUUCGGGUCCCCCGGCAGCAGUUUGGGCACUGAUGGGCGUCCCCCCCAAACCAACGGUUUAUAGGCCCCCCCGCACUUAUGGGCAGGGAUGGGUGCCCCCCCCCGGCACUUAUGGGGCAGCUAUGGGGCAGGGAUGGGUGCCCCCCCGCAACUUAUGGGCAGCUAUGGGCAGGGCAUGGGUGCCCCCCCCGGCACUUAUUGGGCACCUAUGGCAGGAUGGGUGCCCCCCCCGGCACUUAAUGGGCAGAGCUAGGGGCAGAAGGAUGGGUGCCCCCCCUGGCACGUAUGGGGACAAGCUAUGGAGGAUUGGGUGCCCCCCCCCCGCACUUUGGGCAGCUAAUGGGGAGGGAUGGGUGCCCCCCCUGGCUUUAAUGGGCAGCUAUGGGGCAGGAUGGAUGUUUUUCCACACCCGUGGUUGGUUAUGGUGCGGUUAUGGGCAGCUGUGGCGUCCCCAACUCGGGUUAUGGGCGGAUCUGGAGGUUCGGGUGUUCCCCCGGCAGCCCGCUAAUGGGGGCAGGGAUGGAAGAUAUGGGGCAGGGAAUGGAAGAUAUGGGGCAGGGAUGGAAGAUAUGGGGCAGGGAUGGAGGAUAUGGGGCAGGGAUGGAAGAUAUGGGGCAGGGAUGGAAGAUAUGGGGCAGGGAUGGAGAUAUGGGGCAGGGAUGGGAAUAAUAGGCAGGGAUGGAAGAUAUGGGCAGGAAUGCGAGAUAUGGGGCAGGUGGAGAUAUGGGCAGGGAUGGAAGAUAUGGGCAGGAUGGACAGAUAUGGGCAGGAAUGGAAGCUAUGGGUCACCCCCCACGCGCAGCGCAGUUAUGCGGCAAUUGAUGUGUUUGUUAUGGCUUUAUAGGGCAGCAUAUAGGCAAGCCUAUGGGGCAGCUAUUUGGCAGCUAUGGGCAGCUAAUGGGCAACUAUUAGGGCAGCUAUGGGCGUUAUAGGGCCACUAUAGGGCAUCUGUAGACCCCGUGCCGCUAUUGGGCAGCUAUGGGUCAUUAUAAGGCAGUUAUAGGGUGGCUAUGGGGCAGCUAUAGGGCCGCUAUGGGGCAGCUAUAGGGCAGCUAUGGGGCCACUAUAGGGCAUCUGUAGGGCUGCUAUGGGGCAGCUAUGGGUCAUUAUAAGGCAGUUAUAGGGUGGGCUAUGGGGCAGCUAUAGGGCCGCUUUGGGGCAAGCUAAGGGCAGCUCAUGGCCACAUAUAGCGGCAUCU